GUGUAAGUUACCUUCCUCUUCGACUAGUGGCCAACGAGGUUUGGCUGCGAGAAGACGUGCGUUUAGUUCGUACCGCGACGAUCGCAUUAUCGCGGCUACGCGAGAGACUCCUCUUCUUUCUCUCCCUCUCUCGCUCGUGUGUGCGCGCGCGCGUGUUUCGUGUUUGUGUGUGCGUGCUUGAUCUGUACGAGAAGUGGCAGUGUUUCUGGCUCGGCCGUAGGACCCGGACAGUGAGAAAAUCAUUCGUGAAAUUCGGUAAACCGCCGAACAAACUCGGCCGCCCCUCGUAGCCGGAAUCGCUGUGGCCAUCGAGGACUCGACCGAGCCUUUCAGUGUUCCCUCGUUCCUUUCUCUGUUUCGCGCUACUGUGUUUCUUAUGGACAAGCACCGCCCCCUUUCCACCUCCGUCCCUCCGAUCGUAACGUUAUGAGGCCAGCUGAGCGUAACUGACGGAGAAGAGGGAGAACAGGCUUGCGUGCGUGUGUCAAACAUAACCUAGCAUCGUUACCGUGGAUGUAGCGAGAGUAAAUCUAACGAAAAAACGUGACACGCGUUCAGUUUUAAUAAUUCCGCAUUGGUGACAUUCGCGCAUUCAAUAGCUCUUCUGGCUUAGAAAGCGUAUCGAGCGUCAAAGGAUUCGGUGGGAACUACAAAAGUGUUGUUCUUCCUUUCUCGACACGACCGGAUAGAAACGUCCGAACACGCAACGCCCCGUUUACUAUCGACAGUGCUAAGGAAUACUUACACGAGGACACCGCCUCUACUCCGAAGGUUACCCUUCGCAUGUAUCGUUUUUGCCAUAAGUCGCGAUAAAAGGACGCGACCACAGCCGCAGCGUCGACGAGCGUGGUGUCACGAGUCCCCUUUGCCUCUCGUACUCCUCAAGCUUCAGCCCUUCCCGCCGUACCUCGAGAGCGCGCGACAUUCGAAACUGAGCUACGUAAUAUUCCAUCAGAACGCAAUUUGCAAUUUUCCAUCGAAACUCGUCGAUUCCCAUUAUCGUGAUCGACGAUCGAAUUACCCGAUCCUGGGAAUAUUCGCGUGCUUCUCGAAAUAUGGAAUCGAGAGCGAUAUCGAGAUCUAUCGACUUCUAAGUCCACGGCGUGUCUAUUAGUCAAUCCUUCUUUGGAUAACAGUGAUCUUGCAAGAAUCUUAUCCAGUUUAAUCGUUGAAAGCCAAAAAAAAGGCGUUUCGAAUGCUCUCAUCGCUAUUGUGGUGAAACGAAAACGAGAAAAAGAACUUCGAGUUGUGUCAGUGUCACGUGUGUGCUCCGUCACUGGGACGAUAACGAGAUAUCUAAUAGAGAAAGAAGUGUUUGAUCGAACAGGUGAAACAGAGUGAGCAGGAAAAAUCGAAACGGUCGGAAAAGAAUCGACGAGCAGGAGAGGCGUGUCCCGGCUUCCCUGAAGCGGCAGGGGCCUUGGCGGUGGCGGUGGCGGUGAAUCGGGAAAGGGUUGAGGAGGGUGGCCCCUAGGGAGAGAGGAGAGUUUUGAUGGCAGUAGUUGGGCCCAGUCGGCACUCGCGGGUGUCCAUGAGCGUGUCUAUGUCGCUAAUGCAGGGGGGUGGGGCGGGGGCGACAGGUGGCGGUGGGACAACGGGGGCCCACCCGGGGCAAGCGGUCCUCGCUGCAGCGGCCCAAGCACCCCCCACCUACUACCACCCUGCCGCUCCUGCGCCUCCGCCACCGCCGCCAGCCCAGGAUCUCGUUCAGCCCGACAGACCCAUCGGAUAUGGUGCUUUUGGUGUUGUCUGGGCGGUGACGGAUCCAAGGGACGGUAGGAGAGUGGCCUUGAAGAAACUGCCGAACGUCUUUCAGAGCCUCGUGAGUAGCAAACGGGUCUUCAGGGAGCUGAAAAUGCUCUGCUUCUUCAAACACGAAAACGUCCUGUCGGCCCUGGACAUCCUUCAGCCACCACAUCUGGACUUCUUCCAAGAAAUAUACGUGAUCACUGAGCUGCUUCAGAGCGACCUGCACAAGAUCAUCGUCAGCCCUCAGCAUCUCAGUCCCGACCAUAUCAAGGUCUUCCUCUACCAGAUCCUCCGAGGCCUCAAAUACCUUCAUUCAGCCAGAAUUCUGCACAGGGACAUAAAACCAGGGAACUUGCUCGUGAACAGCAAUUGCGUACUAAAGAUCUGCGACUUUGGUUUGGCCCGAGUGGAAGAACCCGAUCAGAACAAGCACAUGACGCAGGAAGUGGUGACGCAGUAUUAUCGUGCACCGGAAAUCCUGAUGGGAGCGCGACACUAUACCGCAGCCGUGGACGUUUGGAGUGUCGGUUGCAUUUUUGGCGAGCUCCUUCGCCGGCGGAUACUUUUUCAGGCACAAAGUCCUGUGCAACAGCUGGAACUGAUCACAGAAUUGCUGGGCACGCCGACCCUCGAGGACAUGAGGUUCGCGUGCGAGGGUGCGAGAACUCACAUGCUAAGGCGCGUUCCAAAGCCACCCUCGUUGACGGCCCUGUACACCCUUAGCAGCCAGGCGACGCACGAGGCUGUCCAUUUGCUCUGCCAGAUGCUAGUCUUCGAUCCCGACAAGAGGAUCACCGUGGUGGAUGCACUGGCGCAUCCUUAUCUGGACGAGGGGAGACUGAGAUAUCAUUCGUGCAUGUGCACGUGCUGUUACACGACCAGCGGAGGCUUGAGACAGUACACGGGGGACUUCGAGCCGGCCACGUCUCAUCCGUUCGACGAUCUCUGGGAACGGAAACUCACCACCGUGCAGCAGGUGAAAGAGGAAAUGCACAAAUUUAUAGCGGAACAGCUGAACACGUCGCGCGUGCCGCUCUGCAUAAAUCCGCAGUCCGCGGCGUUCAAGAGCUUCGCAAGUUAGAGCAAGCCGAUCGCCGACCCAGCGCCCUACGCCGCGUAUACGUACACGUUACUACCACUACCAGUACCGAAUCAGCUAUCUACCACUGUCAGCUACUAUCGACUACUACCGCUAUCGUCUACCACUACUACUACUACCGCUACUACCACUACUACUACCACUACUACUACCAAUCGUGUUACGUCUCCUCCUGAACGAACCGAACGAACAGAGAGUCAGCUCUAGGCGGCGUGACCUCGCUCGCUGAGCUCCACGGUGGCUCAUCCCUCGGAAUUGCCACCCUCUCCUCACCAGUGGGAAUAAAAAUCUUCUCCGAAAUCGCGAAAGCUGAUGACGAACGCGCGGCCGAGUAUUCGCUUCGCUGGAAGACAGAUGUUGAAGAAUUUUCGACAGCCUGAAGAAGAAGAGUGAGAAAGGACGAGGAAAAGAGAUGGACAAAGUGAGACAAGGAUGGAACGAAGAAGAGGAAACAGGCUGGGAAAAGGGCGAAGAAAAGAGAGAAAAGCGAAUUCGGAGAAAGAAGAUAGGAAGAAAGGAGAAGAAGAAGAGCCAAGAGAGACAAUAGACUGCCGAGCGCUGAAGCCUCAAUUUUCGACUAGCUGAUAUGUAUAUACAUAGACACGUGUAUGUAUAUAGAUAUCUAUAAAUAUAUAUUAUACAUACCGCUGUAUACAUACGAGAGGGAGCCUAGGAAGAAAAAAAUAUACCGAAAUACAAAGGCGCACGAUACGAAGAGCACAGUCAAAGGAUCGAUACACAGGAGAAGAAGAGGAAGAAGAAGAGAAAAAGAAGAAGGUGAAUCAGUUUCGAGGGAUUGGAGUUUGGUCAACUAGAGAAGAAAUAGACGAAAGAAAAGGAGAACGUAUACGUAGUUUGUAAGGGAGGGUCGAAAAGACGGGCCAGUCUUCUUUUAUUUUCUUUUCUUUUUAGAUUUUACACGCUUCUAUCAUUAAUGUACAUGUACACAUGUAAAACACGGCCGCUGUGGCGCGUUUCCAACGAUCGAUUAACACGGCAGAAAGGUGACCAGGAUCGAUUGCUUCUUCGUUCAACGUAUUCGACCAAUUAUUCCAUGAAUAAUCAUGUGUAAUAUGUAUACAUAUAUAUAUAUACAUACAUACAUACAUAUAUGUCUUCAUAUACAUAUAUGUAUACAUAUAUAUAUGUCUUCUUUGUGUAUUUAUACAUAUGUAUACAUAUAUAUCUUACAUGGUUUUUCCAUCGGUAAAUUUGAGAAGCGAAAAGAAGCAUUUCAGAGUACUUUGUGAGUACUCCAGUUUACCUUGUACCUGCUGAAGCGGAAUCGUGGAUGAGGAGAACCGUGUUCGCAAGAGGAUGAAACACGAUCUAUGGGAUCGAUCGAUGGCUCCUUUCGUUUCCGAAUUUUUCAACGAAACGCUCAGCGCCACCCUAGGAUGCAUUAAAAUCGGUUCGUAAGCGUUUGUAAUUAGCGUGUCCUUUUGAGAUGGCGCACACACGACCGAGCCACUUCGUCGAAGAAAGGAGAACUCGAGCGAGAAGCUGCAUCUAAGGCGAAGACGGAAGAAGCAGAGUCGCGAAUCAUGGACGGAGUGAGGAUUUUUAAAGCUUUGCACGACGCAUUGCGACGCGAAUCUUGAAUCCAAACGGGAUGUGUCUUGAACAAAAUUGGGAUUGGAUCUUAGAGAAAUCAUUCGAAGUUUCAAAGAAGUAGACAUAGUUCUCUGUUACGCUGGCAGUCCUUUAUUUGGACGGAAUGUUUCAAGAACUCUAAUAUAAAUCGUUCGUUACGAGUUGAGGACCAUAUAGUUUAAGGACAUCAACGAUGUGACAUGCUCGAAUAAGAGGAAGAAAGCUAUGGAUAGCGAAGAGAACCAUGAUCUAUGAGUAUUGUAUUCGAUGAUCUCGAUGAAUCCUGAUGUUCGAUCGAUGCAACGAUCGCGUCCAUGGAUUACGAUCUAGAAUUAGAUCCUCGCCCUGAUCUACGUUGGCCGAGAUAUUCGCGGCGAAGAGCGAACUUCCGUUUGCUGAGGUGCAGUGGACACGCGAAAGCUGGGCUCUAGCUUCCGUAUCAGUCGCUGCGAACAUUUAGUUUAUUUAGCGAGUUACGAACAGCAGAGAUCCUUUGAUCCGUGGUGAUCUCUAUCAAAGUGAAAGAUAGGUUUUUUAAAUGAGAAUUCGAACGGUUCUCAUCGUUUCACGACGUCGUUCUCCAUUAAGAGAUAUUCUACUAUAGUUAGAUUGUUGUUUGUAAAAAUGGGACGACGUCGCUCCUCUCUGGUAAUUAGAGAAGCCACCUUGAUCCGAAGAUAAUUAGGAAUCGUGUGCAUUUCUAGAAGAUACGACGUUGGAUUCGCGUGUGGUGGAUCGCACGCGAUUUUAUUCCAAUAAAUAAAUGCACUGCCGACGAAUCGUGGCGAUCACGACGGUAUUAUAUUAUGAACUGAAGGAGAGCUCAAGGAGCGAAGAACACAGCAAAUUUGAAUGGAAGAAGCGAUCCCUAAAAAGAAUCGAAGAUGAAGGAUUUGUUCGACAUUGUCCAGAGAGUCGUCUUUGGUGUAUAGAUAAAUAGACGUUCUAGUUUAAUUUACCACGAACUUUAUGUUAGAGCGCUUCCGUGCGAGAUCUCGCUUUGGUUUUUUCAUUCUUUUUAGACGUGAAUGGUCGCUUACGGCCUCCGGAGUGUAGAAUUAGAAUGUCCGUUCUACUUUCCGAAUCUGAUUGCGUUUGAAUUACUUAGUUUCGUUCUUCUUACGUAUAAGCACGUUGUUCACGUGUUACGAUCGAUUAUUGUAAUUGUCCUAACAAGAAAGUUUUACGUCUUGGCCAGGACAAAGUAAUCGUUGUUCAGAUCACGUCGAAAGGGUUUGUAGUACCAUUAGUAGUUAACAAUUACCAUUAUACCAUGAAUUCAAACGCACUCUGAGGCCGGACGAGCGCGCGGUAUACAUAAUUACGUUCUGAGUGUGAUUUUACUUUAAGGAAACUUAGGUAGCCAGUAGAUUUUCACGAGAAUUACCGUAAGGACUUUUAGGUAGCGAUUUAGCGUUAGUAGCAGAAAAAAAAAUAAUUGGAAGCUCGUUUUUUAUUAUUGUGGGCGACAAAGACGAGAAAGCAACGCAUGUGUUCUCUUUUUUACGCAGACUCGACUAAUUUCUACUAUAAAACCAUUUAUUCGCGUGAUCACGAAUAAAUACAAAAAAACACGUAACGAUUAUCGUUUAAGUAACCCUUGGCGAAAAGGGAAUUAAUAUAGAGAAGGAAUCGGUCGGUUUUAGGGAGAGAAUUUUAACGAGAACGAGAAACAGCUGCUUCUCCUGAGACACGAAAAAAAGACAUGCAUUUCUUUUAGAACGAUCGAUCAAGACCGUCGUUUUUACGAUUCGGAGCAAUAGAAGUGUGAACGUUUUUGGAAGGGUUUUGGAAGGGACAAAAUAUUCAAAUCGAAACCAUCUACUCUCUGCAAACAAUAGAUGUAAGGAAAUAAAAGCGAACAUAGUCUAUUAAAUAUAUAUAAUGAAGUUAAUGUUUAAACGCGCGAUCGCGAUUUGCCCAGGCGUGUACUAAAUGUUCGGAGACGAUAUUAAAAAUGUUGCGAUCUUUGUACCCUUUCUUCGUGGAAGUUUUCUGGUUUUGUAGAAUUUAAACAAUGCCGGUCUGAUCGUUUCGGCUAGCUGAAGCGCUUCUUCUCGUCAUAUGUAAAUACGUCAUCGCGUUCAUCGUGUACAUAUAUAUUACUAGUUCAUAAACUGAAUCACCACAAUCAGAGACCAGCAAACGUGGCCCGCGGAAUGCGAAAUUUUCGUCGUGUCUAAUCGCAGAUAAGCAACAAUAAUUACAUGCAAUAGCUACGUAAGAUGAUGAAUCUAUGAAACGUAAAAAGUCGCCUCUUUGUUGUUCAACUGUGAAACGAUUAUACGCAGCGAAACGAUGUCGCCUUAAUUAGAAACAGUGAGAAUUUAAACAAAUCCCUCGUACCACGAAUAUUUGGACGGACAGUGAUGUUCCUCUUAGAUCUUUUCUUUCAUUCUUACUCUUUGUACUCUGCUACAGUGAUGUUGAUAGCGCGAAAAUUGCUUUCCGAAUAAGAUAUGGAAAAAACGUUGUGUAUCUAAAAUUAGAAAAUGAAAAGAGAACAGAAAGUUACUCAAUAAAUAAAUUCACAAAUACAUUUAGAAUCAUUUCCCUUUAGAAACGGAAUAUUGUAUUUUAAAUCGUUUGAUUGGAAAAGCAUACUAGUGUUACCGAUCGAUUGUAAUAGAAGAAAUCUUGGGGUGCAAAUGGCGAGAUUUCCUCGAGACUGAUAUUUUAAUUAUUCAACGAUUAUAAAUGUAGCUCUCCACUUUCCAAGCACAAUUGAAAUGACUUCUGGAAAAAGGAUUCAUAAAACGAAACGAUGAGUUAGAUAAAUUGCAUUAGAAAUUUUAGUCUCUCGAUGUUAGCCACUUUUAUAUUUUCAUAUUUAUAAGAAAGAAUUAAAAAAAUUUCAUAACGAUUCAAUCUGUAGCCUAAGAAAUAUACUCGAUAUUUGUCAAACAUCAAACAUAUUUGUCAUAAAUCCGUAGACUCCAAUUUCAGAGAGCUCUUUAACUAUUUUUGUUUAAUGCGUGCCAAUGUAAAAAAGGUUCACCUUGUUUUAUCGCGGACUUUUACGUCUGGACCCAAUGCUCUUUUAUCUUUUAACAGCCUUUUGAACAAUUCACGAAAAACUCUAGGCUUGACUUCCGCGAAUUUUACUUGUCAGUCUCGUGGAACGCUCGCCGAUGGAAAGUGCGAGAACGCUUUCAAGCGAUUGGUUAGGAUAAAAGAAAAAAGAAACGAAAGAAAGGAAAGAAGCGAGUGAAGAAAGGGUAGGGAUUUAUCCAGGACCCUUUCUAAGCGAUAAGUGGUGAAAGAGGAACACCGUGGUUCCGUCCAAGUUUCGCAACGGUCCGAUUUGCAAUUUGAUUAAUUACAAGAGGAAGCGUGGGGAUGAAAGGAGUGUGAGAAGAUCGCGGAGAAAGAAACGAAGGGAAAGUUUGAGUGUACGUUUGAGUGUGUGCGCGUGUACCCGAGGGAAUGAAAGGGAAUGGAGCGAGUGUGAGCGCGUGGAAUUUAAUGUUUCCUAUUAAACGAGAAAAAAAUUUACAGAUAAUACAUAGACGAUUACUUAAACAAGAUUUGUAAAUACGUAGCUCACUGUAGCUGGUCAGUUGGGCAUUUAACGAUACACACCUCGAGAUAAAGAAAGCAGGCGACAAAAAAAACGAAGUAGCAAACAAACGAAAAAAGAAAGGAAGAAAAAUGAUAAUUAAAGAAGGAGGAAAAUUUGAAAACACAUUGAAGAGAGAAGAAUAAAAAGAAAAAAAAAGAAACAAAGAACGAUACAUAGAGAUACGUUACUCUCUUCGCGUUAUUACACAACAUACACGUAUAUAGUACAUGCACACACAAAUACACGUACACGUAUGUAACAGAAACAAACAUUUUUUGGAAAGUUAAUGGAAUAGCAUGUUUUAUUGGUUCUCGAUCGCAAGGAGAACGACGGAACAUAAAUGAAUAAUAACUGGAGGCUAGGUGAUAAUUCAUAAGUCGUAAAAUACCUACGUUAGUAGAUAAUGACGAUAUUAGACAAUUAAGCGACAAGAAAAAAAAUCCACGUAUACUUCACACUAGCAAAUAUGCCUUCGUUAUGAAAAGUGGCUGGCACGUGAUGCACGAAACAAUAAAGUUGCUACAGAUUAAAAAAGAAAGAAAAACUAGUAAAAAAGACGACUGCAAAACGGUGGGUCUCUUGUCUCCGAUUUGGCACGUCAUUAUUCUUUUUUUUCUUUUUACCUAGUUUCCUUCCUCCAACCUUUUUCAUUUUUCUCUGCCUCUUUCUAUUUUUUAUUUUCAGUUCUCUGUCUCUAGCACUGUCGGUUGGAACACGUCUCUUUCACAGGUUUUACACCCGCACCGUUCUUUCCUUCGACAAACCAUGGCACCGGAUUCAGCUCAGCUUUGCUUUCAGCUACUUUCGUUUCUGCUCGGAGAGACACAGCCAGUCGGUUAGUAACGAUACGAGGAUACAAAAACUGCCAAGACACGUCUAUUACCUAAUUUCAUGACAGUCAGCCGCAUGAAGUUCAAAUAAAUAAACUAGAAGUAGGGCUGUACUUAAAACACAUUUUAUAGUUCCUUGAAUCUUCCCUUGAACCCUCCUCACAUCAACCGAAUACUUCACCACUUUUACUCAAGAGACUAAAAAAGAAACACCCAAUAGACCUCAUAAAAGAUAUAACUUAGAAAAAAAACGAAGCUGGUACCCCGCUGGGGGUAGCCGCCCACAUGCUAUAUUAUUUUUUAUUUAUAUUUUUUUUUUCUUCACCAACAAGAUAUAACACUUUACCAAAUGUCCGCAAGGACAAAUUGUAAAAUAACCAAAAUAAAAUAAAAAAAAAAAAAAACUUUUACUCAAGAUCACUAUGAACAGUAUUGAAUCCUCAAACUCGCUUCCAAUAAAUGAAGCCUGUGGAGUUUGAAUCAAGUAUGAAACCUCAAAAGGGCGUUAUAAGAGGCACCCUUGUAAAUUAAAAAAAAAAAACCUAAAGAGAACCGCUAUAUUAUAAAAUAUAUAAAAUAUAACUUAAAAUAUAAAUAUCUAUAAAAUACGAUAUAACGUCAUUGUCUCCAUAUUAGUAAGACGAUCGACUGGCGUGUCUCUCCGAGAUCCCUGCAAUUAAUUGGUCCACAAUUAAUCCACAAUUGGUCCACAACACGCACACACCAGAUUCUUGGUGGCCAAGAGACGAGACAAGAGUGACGCAGAUUUCGCGUCCUUUCUCUCGAACGAUUUUUGUCCCUUGAUACGAAAUACGGGAAAAGGGAAAAACCAAGAUUAGAAAGCUAAGCACUUUUCGACUUUCGCGUGUACAAUGAAUAGCCGAGCGUAUUUUUUUCUUUUUCUUUUUCUUUUUUUUUUUUUUUUUUUUUAGGGACGACAGAAGGGAAUAAGAAGGGGAGAGAAGUAGGAAAUUCUGUCGCCGUCUUCGUAUCGUUGUAGCGUCGUAGCCGAAGAUGAUAAACGUGACGACCUGUCGUUAGUAACUAAGAGGCCUUAAUAUAUUGCGUUUACGAUAUAUUAUAACACAAACACACAUUCACAGACACACGUCGGUUCAAUUUUAAGCAUAAAAAAUACACAAGAGUAGCAUAGAAGGGAACACAAGAUACACAUUUGGAAGUUAAGUGCAAGUAAUCGAUAGUACAGGGCACGGAAAACGAAACAAUCUAUUUAGUAAACAAAUUCUAGAGAACCCUGCGACUGCGAGUAGUUUUGGAUUGUUCGAGUAGAUUCAUCGUACUGUAAAGUCGCAUUUUUCUCUUUGUAGAAUCAUUACGGAAUAAUCUUGCUAUCGUUCCUCUUAUGUCCAUACCGUCGGUACGUGAUUAAUUUAAUUAUUAGAAUUUUAGUUUGUUUCAAUCUUCUCUACUAUAACGAGAUUUCGAAAUAAAAUGUAAAAUGAAGUUACAUCUGUACGAAUUUAUAUAUGUUCGUAAUAUAAGAAAUUCUUGCAAACGUAAUAUUAAUAAUCGUGAAAGAAUUCAAACUAUCAAAAAUAUUCCUAAAAUUGAUUCAACAUUUUACGAGCAACUGAUAUUCGUUGUCGCGGAUAAUAGAAAUUGUCUACAUAAAAAUAUUUGAAGGAGAAGCUUCUAAAUCUUUUCAUUCAUUGUGAAGAAUAGUGUCUUCGAAUAGAAUCAAAAUAUAUUAGACAAGCUCGGAACUGAACGUAUAAUCAAAUGAUUUUAAAUUACGUUAUAAAGUUGGAAAGUUGGAUAUUUGUAAUUUUAGCAUAAGAGAAACGAUACGUAGACGUGGAGACCUUACGCGAUAAAAAUAAGAGUACCGUUUGAAACAUAAAUCUCUUGUAGCAAGGGAAGCGCUUGAUUUAAUCCUCUCGGUGUCUCUAGCACGUUUCUAUCGUAAACAUAGUAAAAUUUGAUCUAAGAACGAGUACCAAGCAUAAAUCGAAGAUCGAAAGCACAGAAUGGGCAGUCGUGGGGUCCUAGAAAACGAGUUUAAACGCGAUUUUCCUCGUUCUAUUCUGCAUAGAUUUCAAGAUAAUGCGUUAAACGGGUCGAGGAGGAAGAAAUCGUUAUCGUAUAUGUAGAUGUAAACGAUGUAGAAAUAAAUGACAAAGAACGUUUAUGACUGAUAGUAAAAGCAAGAUGGAAAUGGAAAUGAUGCCACUGUGAUUUAUGCGGCACAAAGACUAAAAUAUAAUUUAUUUCAUUUGUAGAAUAUUUCCAACAAAGAGAAUACGAUUAUUCGAUUUCUAAAUAUUUGAGCACAGUAUUUGAAAGAUUCUAAAGUUGUCCAGAAUAUCCAAUAUAACAUUUUGACGUUUUAAACAUUUUUAAAAAUAAGAACGUUAGCCGAUUUCUAAAUAUUUGACUACUGUAUUUGGGAAAUUCCAAAGUUUCUCUAUAUCCGAUAUAAAAUUUUCAUUUUUUCGACGUUUCUAAAAAUAAAAACGCUAUUCGAUUCUUCGAUAUUCGAAUAUUUCGUUUGGAAAAUUCCAAGGUUUCUAUAUAUGCGAUACGAAGUGGUGAAUUUAUCGAUGAGAAAAGAGAAUGAACGCAGAGAAGAACGAGGUAAAUCGAUUUGUACAGUGACAACAGUUUUCCAGACGCACGUCUGUUCAGAAGCAGAUGGGAAGGUAAAUUAUCAUUUGCACGUGCCACAUUUACAGCGUAUCUCAUUCUAAAGAGGACUUUACCGAUCGUAGUUCUUCCCUGAGAGUACAGUUUUCGCAUCAGCACUGCCAGUUUAUCAUUGUUAGACGGAGGAAUCGCCACCGACCCCAUCGCUUUGUUCGCGUUGUUCAAUUCCGGUCUCGUUCUAGAUUCGUAGACGUUCAAAGAAUUUUUCGAAACGCGUGUAAAGUCCAACUUCUGCCGAUAAUAUCCGCAUCCACGUACAACUGCUCCUAAAUAGUUCCAACAACGUUUUCUUUCAUAAAAAUGACCAUUGAUUCGUUGUAACAAUUUUCAUUUCACACAUCGCUGAUUCAAUUAGAAAUAAAAUACUUUUCGGAGAAUUCUUCGGACGUCUCUCGUAUUUUCCAACUCUCUAGCAGAGUGACAGGGCAGAGAAAGAAAUUCGAAUGAGAGAAGAAUAGUUCGUCACGUGCGUGUAAUAUCUGUAAAAAGGAAAUGGCAACCGUCGAGAAAAUAGGAUCGCUAUAGUGACUUUGGAAACUCGACGGUGAGCACACUGUUAGCACUCGUAAGCGUGUAAAUAUUAGCGUGUAACCUCGAGAAUUCGCGUACCUUGAAAGUAGCCCGAAGCCUUUUCACAAUUAGCGAUAACGAAAGAAGAAAGAAAGAAAGAAGUUACAGAGAAGAGAAAAAAGAAGAAGAAGGCACUUCGAUAUUCCCUCGAUGACGAAGGGUAUGCAUCGAAAAAUGAAAGAAAAAAAAAAGAAACGAAGGGAGAAACAGGCAGGCACAAACACAAAAAGACCUCAAUCGUGUUGUUGUAAAUAGUAGAAUAGAGCUCGAUCUAAGGUAAACAAAAAAUCGUUAAGGUUCUAAGGUUUUAAUCGUGUAGGGUACGUACUUAAAAAUUAUUCGAGGACGAACAUUUUUUCAAUGAGCAGGCACGUAUUUUUUAGGAUUAACAAUCGCGUGAGUGUUAAGACGAGCGUCGAGCUGUGGAAGUUGUACCCCUGUGUACGCGUUUUCUGAUUCUAGUAUUUUCUUUUCUUUUUUUUUUUUUUUUUUUUUUCGUCACUUUGAAUUCCUCAUUCUCCCCUCGCUAAUCUUCCAUUCUCGAGCUAGACUGUAAGAAAGAAAGAAGAAGAAAAAUCUGCUACAUUCUCAGAAAACCCUUGACACCGAGAAAAAAAGCUCGCGCCCGUCUCGAUGUUUCCUUUUUUGCGUCACGUGGUUGCGUUCGUUCUCGCGCAGACGGGCGAAGCUCGUUUUUACUCUUUCUCUCUCUAUACACGUACGUAUAUAUACAUAUAAAUUAUAUAUACAUAUUAAUAAAGGAUAAAAAAAAAUGAAAAAAAUAGCUGGUACUUUAGUAUAUAUAAAUACUAGGCUCAACGAUCCGGCACUUCUCGAUUUAGGAAGACGAUCUAGCCUCUACGGACGCAUCGCGCGAGGAUAUAUUUUUUUUAAAACGAAAUAUCUCGACGGCAUGGUUUUACUCGCAGAACUCUCGCUCGUUCGACUCACUUGUCUCUUUCUCGCGUUCGAAUCAUCGAAUACGAGUCCCCGAAUCACGUAGCAGACUCUGAAAUAUUUCGAACCGUGGAAACACCUUUUCGCUCGAACGGAACGCCUCUCGAAUUUUUCUUACCGGGACGAUCUAUGUUUCUAGACGAGAUUAGAACAAAGUCAAGUGCAAACGAUGAAUUCACGGCAAAAGGAAAGAAUAAAGAAGAAAAAUGAAAGAAAAAGAAGACAAAAUGCGAGUGCUCGAUCGUUGAUCGAUUUAUGAUCGUCUAUUUAAUGUUCUGCGUGUCCCUUGUUCUUGGUGUCUUGUACUUGUAAAUAUAUCCGUGAUAAAUAAACCUAUGGAGUCCUGUCGUUUAAACAGCCGUCGAUUAAAAGAAGAAAAAAGAAAAAUUCCUCUGUGAUAGCUUUAAAAUAGAAACGAUGCAAAACUAUUAAAUAAAAUAAAAAUCCUUUACUUAAAUAAAAAUCGUAUUCGUAUGUAUCGACUCGAAUUGUUAGAACACACAAACUCUCAAUUUUGCACAAGUAGUUUAUUAACGGAUCAUGGAAUGUUAUGAGAAUGAUUGACGUCAGGACUUCUCGAACGUGGUUUGCAAGCAGGUUCGUGGGAAACGCGUGGCGAACCACGCUCGAAGGGUGAAUCUUGACCUCUUCGUGGACUCGUGCGUUUAAUUAACCCCCGAUCAAAGCCACCGAUUAUCGUGGCGUCUGUAUAUACAGUGAAAUUUUGUCGGCGAUACGUGUACGUAAAGCGAUAAGCGUGUGAACUCUUUUAAAACUUUACAGGUACGUUUACGCGUACAGGUUCUUUCAUUCGUUUUAUCCCCGUUAAAUAUUUUAUUCUUAUUAACGUCACGAGAAAACGUUUCUAAGAAAAUUUAUUUAUUUCUGACACACGAUUCUUCGUGUCAUAGUUAAUAAUAGAGAAUGUUUAACGAGGUGAAAAUAAAUGUGACAACCUGUACAUGUACGAAUAUUCUACGGAUAUGUAUAUGUAACAAAUUCUUUCGUGUCGAUGCUAUUACACACGUAGGAUCGUUUCUAUUAGCGGGUAUAUAUGUGUACUUUUUUAGAGGCGAACAGGCGAUCGUCCAUUCGCGCUCGAACCACUCUAAAUUCACGGCCAAAAUAAUGUUUAGGGAUGCUCGUAUGCCUUCUACACAUACACCUGAACACACACGAACACUUGUAAGAUUUAUAUAUUAGCUGGGACGCAUGGGGUGUCGAUUAAAUUGUCGCGACCCCUUUCCCAUACGAAAAGAAGAAACAAGUAUAAAAGAUAAUAAAAAUUCUUACAAAAAUUGGCUCAAGAAUAUUUGAAAAUUAUUUAUAUUAUGUUACAGACCAUCCACCUUUGUUCUUAAAAAUCUAACGAAAGAAAUAGAAUUGUUCGACACAUUUGAAACUUUUCUCUGAAACGAUCGAAUUAACCUUUUUACGUUUUACGGAGUUUCUAUCAACCGACGAUGAUGUCACCCCGUGUGCACAGCAUUUAAUGUACGUUUUCUCUUCCUCUUCCUAGCAACUUGCCCGAACUUUCGUACGAACGAUGCUCGUGGAAAACGAUCGAGAGCCUCGCGACUAAGCUCGCUGGGAGAUCGUCGAUCUAUAAAAUCGCGAUAGUCUGUAUCUAUUAAGAAACGUCCGUCUGGCGAUAAGGGCGGACCUCGUGUAAUAUAUUAUUACGUCGCAACGAUAGGUGGCAAGAGUUAAUAUUUGUAGGUAAAAAAAUAGGGGAACGAAGUAGAAAGGCUGAUCUCCGCCGUGUAAUUUUUGUAUUUUCGGGAAAGCGAGGCCGACCGACCGCGUUAAUAAUGGUAAUUGUAAAGACAGUACAAUUUUGCAUCGCGACUCGCAGCGUUUUAUUAAAUACGAUUUAGUAGAGGUCAGCGAUUACCGAAUAAUCUUUGUAAUAUAAAAGAAGAGCACGAGUGGGUGGAGAAAUAUGUCGCGGAGGUGUCGAGCGACGAUUUCCUAGCUGGCUCUAUUCUCGAAGGACGAGAUCAGAGAGAUAUUUUUGAAAAAACUUUUCUCGGAAGAAUAUUUUGCACGAAAUUCGAUAGGGGUGGUGUGAAGAGAGCGGAUUUUUCUCACGAUAAUAGAAGAAUUCCCUGGUGAUAGAAAAAGGGGGAAAAAUGUACAAGAUUGGACCGAGAACGCGUCGACUCGAUCGAGUUUCCGCCUUGCAUCGUCGAUGAAGUUCGGUGGUGUUUUCUUCGAUAUGUUCUAGAAAACAAGUGAUAAGAUUUAAAGGCCGUCGUAACAGAGGCAAUGUACUCAGUGUAAAUAGGAAAGAAAAAAUGAAACUGUAAAGAAGUAAUACGAAACAGCAACUAAAAUAACAAUUACGUGUCUACGAUGCCUAUAUCUGUUUAAUCUACGUAAAACCAGAUGGAAGCAAUUAAUUGCUGAUUACUAUUAAACUAAUAACUAAACAACAGUUUAUUCUAUCUGUGUGUGUCGGUUUCGAUUGGACAUAGAUUUUGUAUCACCCUUUUCUCCGUGUAUGGUGUGUAGCCAGAGGGUCGAUUUCGAGGGGAUGCGGGUUAAAACGAAAUUAAUUUAAUAAAUAUACUAUGAAUUCGUAAUAAGAUAUGCCAAAAAAAAAAAAAAAAAAAAAUUGAGAUAAAAUUAAGGAUAAUGCUUAUGGACAAAUUUUAUAUUACAAUCUAUAAUAAUUUUUACGUCGGAGAAUAAUUUUUUUUUUUUUAAAUAGAUCCACGUUUGACUUUGUACGUUCAUCGUGAAAGGAACGAUCGAUGAUCAACGAUUGGCUACGAAAACAUUAAAAUCCUAUCCCGUUCCCAUCGAAAUCGACCUUUUGAAUUGUAGAUUCAAUCGUGUCUUUCACAACUAAGUAGUCUUUGUAAAUCGAUUUCCGAUAGACGAAGUCGCGUUUCUUCGAAACUAGCUGGUAACUUAAAACGUACAGUAAGGAACCGACCAUAAUGGUAUAUCAGUAUAUCGAUACACUGUUGCGUCGAUCCUUUACAACGGAGAGAGGAGAUUCGCACAGACUAUUCGAUGUACGCUUUCGAUCAACGCGCGAUCUUGAUCGCAGUCGAUAUAUUUCAAGAUUUAUCACGUGCACAUGUCGUAGAUAUGUCUACGCACCGGGUGCUUCGAGACCAGUUUUGAGAAAUUAUUGGAAAUCAAAAUUCGAAACGAAUUACCAUUACCGUUUCUUUCGCGUCAAAAUCGAAUUCCAACUGUUAUCGAACGCAUUAUCAAUGAAUUUUCACUCGAAGUUAUACUCCAAGUUUAGUUAAAUAAAUGAUUCUGGACACGUUCGUCUUUACGUUUCUUUCGCGCGUAUGUCAAAUCUGGAAUUGUCAUCGAACGCUUUAUCGGCGAGUUUUCGUUCAAAAUUAUGCCUGAAAUGUAAUGAAAAUUCUUGACACGUUUCAAGUAUGAACGUUUUUCGAGUAACGUUUUUGGAAAAGGAAAAAAAGAACGAAAUUGGUCUUAAGCCCUUAUUUUCUCUGGUAACUAGCUGUAAAAAUUUCAUCAAUUAUAAUUAAGACCGCGUCGAGGAUUUUUAACGAAGAAUCUAAACAAACGAGAGGAGUUUUUAUUUGCAAUUUUCGUUUUUCUUUAGAUUCUUCGUUAAGAACAGCGAUCUAUCGAUAUAUGCACAUUUAUCGUCGUAGAGUGGAUCUUCACGGAAAAAAGAUCGUAGUCGAUUCCAGCCUUUCUAAUUCCAAGCGUUCUACUCUACAACUUUCGGCUAAAUAAUCAAAUACCAUGGGAAACUAUGAAUCAAAAGAUGUGAAGAAGAGAAAGAAAAAUACAACACGUAAACACACGGAUGAACAAACGAAGGAACACGUCGUGCAUGAAUGCACGCACACACACACACACAAGUACAUUCACAGCGAAAGGAAAAAAAGACAAAAAUUCAAAGGCGAGGCGAUUAAACUUUCCCGAUGAAAUUUCUCGAUCGCUCGAUAAUCUUCAUUCGCGCGUCGUCUAAUUUUUCGCGACAACGUAGGAUCAAUUGUGUAAAUUAAGUUUAUAAGAUUCUCUCCGACUGGUAGCGUAAGAAACGAUCGAUUGCAGCGAGAAAUCGGAAAUAAUCCUCUUUCGAAAAUCUAACAACUAAAAUUUUAAUUUUCAUCGAGAUUAUUUGUUCGCGAUACUUUCUAUCAAAAUUGGAAUAAACACGUGGAGCAUUAUCAGAUAUUAUUUGGUUUCUCGUUGCAUGCGACUACAAGAAACAAAUUCUAGUUUAUACGCAUAAUAAAAUAGCAACGUUUUGUAUAGUGCGAGCACGUUUUUCGGACUCGAAAGUUUAAUCGAAAUCAUUUUUCGAAACUCCACGUCUCAGCCUUCGCACGAUCGACAGAACGACGAAUUCUAAGGAUAAACAAAAUAAAAUAAAAGGAAAAACAUGGAAAAUCUGAAAAAAAAAUACCAGAGCAUUGAAGACUGGCAAUCAAAACUAACGUAGGCAGAUUUAAAACGCAGAUUUAUUCUGGUGUCUAGCACGAUCGUGCGCGGCCUUGCCAGCACGCAAGCGACUCGAAUACAGAAAUUAUUUUCGAUAUGUCGUGUGUUUGAUGUCGAAGGAGAUCGUUCUGUUUGCCUUAUCUAAAUUUAUCGACAAUGCAGAGCAGAGAUCAUUCCUGGAUAUCUUUGAUUAAGAAAACAGAAAAGGAGAGAAAAAAAAACAAAAUUGAAGAACAUUGAUGAAAUGUCAAAAAAAAAAAAAAAAAAAAAAAAAAUGAUUGAAAAAAGCAGGAAUUGUGUAAAAAUAAUACGAAAAUAAUAUCCUUGGAAUAUUUCGAAAUAUGUAUUUGAUUUGAGUGCGUGACGACGAUCGUACUAAGCAGGAAUAAAUCGGCGAAGAAAACUAAAUACAAUUCUAUGCAAUUCUCCUUUAAAACAAAAAGUAAAUAAAUAAAAAGAAAUAGAUCGUACAGUUUUGCGAGUAAAAUGCGCGUCUAAUGUAACGCUAGUGAGUAGAUAGGUAGGUACCUGCAUUUCAUGAAAUUUAACAUGCUUAAAUAGAUCCUUAAUAAAUCGUUAUACAUGUUUUGAUAAA